rnacentral:rRNA from 1 species
GCAUAUCAAUAAGCGGAGGAAAAGAAACCAACCGGGAUUGCCUCAGUAACGGCGAGUGAAGCGGCAAGAGCUCAAAUUUGAAAGCUGGCCCCUUCGGGGUCCGCGUUGUAAUUUGCAGAGGAUGCUUCGGGUGCGGCCCCUGUCUAAGUGCCCUGGAACGGGCCGUCAGAGAGGGUGAGAAUCCCGUCUUGGGCAGGGUGCCCGUGCCCGUGUGAAGCUCCUUCGACGAGUCGAGUUGUUUGGGAAUGCAGCUCUAAAUGGGUGGUAAAUUUCAUCUAAAGCUAAAUACCGGCCGGAGACCGAUAGCGCACAAGUAGAGUGAUCGAAAGAUGAAAAGCACUUUGAAAAGAGAGUUAAACAGCACGUGAAAUUGUUGAAAGGGAAGCGCUUGCGACCAGACUCGGCCCCGGGGUUCAGCCAGCACUCGUGCUGGUGUACUUCCCCGGGGGCGGGCCAGCGUCGGUUUGGGCGGCCGGUCAAAGGCCCCAGGAAUGUAUCGCCCUCCGGGGUUGUCUUAUAGCCUGGGGUGCAAUGCGGCCAGCCCGGACCGAGGAACGCGCUUCGGCACGGACGCUGGCGUAAUGGUCGCAAACGACCCGUCUUGAAACACGGACCAAGGAGUCUAACAUCUACGCGAGUGUUCGGGUGUCAAACCCGUACGCGCAGUGAAAGCGAACGGAGGUGGGAGCCCCCCCGGGGCGCACCAUCGACCGAUCCUGAUGUCUUCGGAUGGAUUUGAGUAAGAGCGUAGCUGUGGGGACCCGAAAGAUGGUGAACUAUGCCUGAAUAGGGCGAAGCCAGAGGAAACUCUGGUGGAGGCUCGCAGCGGUUUCUGACGUGCAAAUCGAUCGUCAAAUUUGGGUAUAGGGGGCGAAAGACUAAUCGAACCAUCUGGUAGCUGGUUCUGCGA